GACGAACGCUGGCGGCGUGCUUAACACAUGCCAGUCGAACGGAAAGGCCCUGCUUUUGUGGGGUGCUCGAGUGGCGAACGGGUGAGUAACACGUGAGUAACCUGCCCUUGACUUUGGGAUAACUCAGGAAACUGGGGCUAAUACCGGAUAGGAGCUCCUGCUGCAUGGUGGGGGUUGGAAAGUUUCGGCGGUUGGGGAUGGACUCGCGGCUUAUCAGCUUGUUGGUGGGGUAGUGGCUUACCAAGGCUUUGACGGGUAGCCGGCCUGAGAGGGUGACCGGCCACAUUGGGACUGAGAUACGGCCCAGACUCCUACGGGAGGCAGCAGUGGGGAAUAUUGCACAAUGGGCGGAAGCCUGAUGCAGCAACGCCGCGUGCGGGAUGACGGCCUUCGGGUUGUAAACCGCUUUCGCCUGUGACGAAGCGUGAGUGACGGUAAUGGGUAAAGAAGCACCGGCUAACUACGUG
rnacentral:rRNA from 1 species